UCAUUUGACAUUAUGGGCUGGUGCUGAGUUGGUAGGUAAAAAAGUUAAAUGAAACGUUGCGUUUCACUGUGUGGCUUAGGAUUUGUGUGUGGGAUUUCAAAUUUCGAAACGCUCAAGUUAACUUGCUGGCUUAGGAUCGUGUGUGGGAUUUCAAAUUUCGAAAUUUCGAGCUAGGGUUAGGAUUGAGAGAGAACGAGAGAUAACGAGAGAACCAGAGAGAUCGAGGGAGAAAACACAAACCCUACUCCAUUGCUGCCACCGGAGGCUGGACGUGAUAGGAAAAGUUUGUACCAGCGAAGGUGUAGCCGAAGGCAAAGUUCGUACCGGACGUGAUCGAUGUGGAGCGCGGAAGGUUUGUCCCCUUUCUUAUUUCUCCCCUUUGUACCGUUUGAAUAAUAUAAAGUAUGAUACUGUUGUUCCUUUGUUCUUUUCUCAGAAUUUGUCUAUCUUUGUUUUUAUUUUUGGUAUUUUAUCGGAAACCCUAGACUAAAGGGGGAAAUGUUGUGAGAGAUAAAAUUCUGGAUUGGGCAAACCUGUAGGAUUAUUUACUGUCCUUAGUGUUUUUGGGCUUGGUUUGCUUAUUUGCAAAAGGGAAUAUUGCAAUAAAUGGAUAAAGUGUGAGAUGAUUACAAGAAAUGGAAAAAGGGUAGUGUCGAUGGAGAGCUAGAGAGUGAAAAAGUUCCACGAAAUCAGAGGGAAUAGUGAUUGGAAUAGUUUGCAAAAUGGCACCCACCCAGCACGGUUAUUCUGCUCAGCAGCAGCACGAAAUGCAACGCAAACGUUUCUAACUGUCUUCGCGCCAAUGGUGGAGCUACUUCCCAUGAACUGAUUGAAAUGAUUCCCCUUUUUGUUAUAGUCCGAAAACUCCCUGUCCAUGCUGCAUUGGCUCCCUCUGUGUUCCUUCAUUAUUAUCUGUUUGAUGAUAUUUUUUUUGAGUUAGAAAAAGGGAAAUAUUGUCAUGAGAGUUGAACAUCAGUUUAAGGUGUCCUGAAUUUUUCAUACAUUUGCUUCUGGCACCAUUUUAUUUUUAAUUUAUGUAUUGUAUAUGUUAUUUACCUGCAUCCACUGUUUUUUACUCAGUGAUAAAUUUGCUUUGGAAUCCAUCACAUAUAUUUUAUUUCUAUCACUACUAGGUUGCCCUUUCUUGGUCAGUUGUAUUAGCAUUUUGCAUUGUGCCCUGUUUGCCCCUAGAUAUAUUGCGUGAUUAUGUUGUUUGUGGUUUGUAUAUGGUGUUUGGCCACUGUUAUUUAUAACUCCUUGGAUUUUAUGUAGAGAAUAGUUUCAUCUAAUUUAUGAAUUUAAAUAUAGAUUAUUCUUUCAUAGAGCUAAGUGCUUGAUUAACACCAAAAGUUUCUUUCUCCAUUUUUUCUGUUUCUAGUGUCCUUGUGGAAUCAGCUCUUACGAAAUUAAUUGUUUUGCAUGUAUUACCCUAUGACAUAACUCUGAGGAAUAUUGUCAAGGUUUUUGGAAGUGAUAUUGGGGGCCCAACUGAUGACCUAGUACGUCUAUCAAUACCAAUUGAUACCAAGAAGCCUCCAACACGCUCCGUUGAUGACAUUCUAUCGAAAUUGAUUCCACCUCUUCACAAACCUCAAGGCACUGGAUGAAAGAAGAACAAUAUAAAUGCAACAACUUUAAAACUUUCAUAAUUUUCUUGCCUGUAUUUCAGAUUUAUCGUUGUUGUUUGUUGUCGAAUAUUGUGCGUGGUCACAUGGAUGUGUUAUUUAGAAAAAUUUGUGAACUACUUAACUUAUGUUGAUCAAUUUGUUGUUGCAUUAAGUGCUUA